rnacentral:misc_RNA from 1 species
UCUCUCUCUCUCUCUCUCUUGUCCCCCCAUCCUAUCUUCAUCUUCUUCCCCAAUUUUGUUUUUCAAAGAAGUGAUGAUAAAUUCUUUUCUUUUUUGCAACCCAUGUAGACCCUCUAAUAUCUCACCUCUAAUAAUAAUCGGCCAUUGAAGAGAUCAGUGAGAUGCUGUUCUGGCAUGCCAAUGUCCACUGGGCUUUAUAUGAAUCUAGGGAGUUUCUUCACUUGUGUACAGACCUGUGCCUAAACAAGACCUAUUUAAAAUCUGGUAGGCGGUGACGGUGGUGGCAGUAGUGGUUGUGCAACGAUAGUGGUGAAUGGUAGUAGGGAAGGAUUUGGGGGGUUCACUACAGAGUUUACGGUGGUGAGAAAACUGGGCUUCCUUUUUUAGGGAAUAAUUUUGGGCAUUG